CCUACGGGAGGCAGCAGUAAGGAAUAUUGGUCAAUGGGCGCAAGCCUGAACCAGCCAUGCCGCGUGCAGGAAGACGGCCCUAUGGGUUGUAAACUGCUUUUGAACAAGAGAAAACCUCGGUACGUGUACCGAGCUGAUAGUAUUGUUAGAAUAAGCAUCGGCUAACUUCGUGCCAGCAGCCGCGGUAAGACGAAGGAUGCAAGCGUUAUCCGGAUUCAUUGGGUUUAAAGGGUGCGUAGGCGGCCUGAUAAGUCAGUGGUGAAAUCUCUCAGCUUAACUGAGAAACUGCCAUUGAUACUGUCGGGCUUGAGUACAGAUGAUGUGGGCGGAAUAUGACAUGUAGUGGUGAAAUACUUAGAUAUGUCAUAGAACACCGAUUGCGAAGGCAGCUCACAAAACUGUAACUGACGCUGAGCGACGAAGUAGCGGGAGUACAACAGAGUAGUAUACCUACGUAGUCGCACCGUAACGAUAGAUACUCGUUGUUGUNAUAU
rnacentral:rRNA from 1 species